rnacentral:rRNA from 1 species
GCGGCGUGCUUAACACAUGCAAGUCGAGCGAGGAACUUCGGUUCCUAGCGGCGAACGGGUGAGUAACACGUGGGCAACCUGCCCCGAGCUCUGGGAUAACUUCGGGAAACCGGGGCUAAUACCGGAUAUGACACUACUGGACAUCUGGUGGUGUGGAAAGAUUUAUCGGCUUGGGAUGGGCCCGCGGCCUAUCAGCUUGUUGGUGGGGUAACGGCCUACCAAGGCGACGACGGGUAGCCGGCCUGAGAGGGCGAUCGGCCACACUGGGACUGAGACACGGCCCAGACUCCUACGGGAGGCAGCAGUGGGGAAUAUUGCGCAAUGGGCGGAAGCCUGACGCAGCGACGCCGCGUGGGGGAUGAAGGCC